AACUUUUUUUUAUUUUCUAUACCGCCGUCUCAAGAUAAAACCCUAAAUUUUUAUCCUAAGCUUUUUUGAUAAGUCAGGUCAAGGUGGAGAUUAUAAGAAAGUUUAGAUUAAUUAUUCAUAAAUGUUAUUUAAAGCUAGUCUUCCAAAGAUAACUAAAAUAAAGAUUUGAAAGUAGUCUUUAAUUAAAAGUUAAGAACGAACUUGUUACAGGUGUACAUAUCGCCCGUCACCCUCGUCUAAAGAUGAGGUAAGUCGUAACAUAGUUAGUGUACUGGAAAGUGCACUAAGGGGAAUUAAAAGCUUUAGCGUUUCAUUUACACAGAAAAGAGUGGUCAUUCAAUUUCCAUAAACUUUAUUUG
rnacentral:rRNA from 1 species